UCAAGCGAAUAAGCGCACACGGUGGAUGCCUUGGCGGUCAGAGGCGAUGAAGGACGUGGCAGCCUGCGAAAAGUAUCGGGGAGCUGGCAACAAGCUUUGAUCCGGUAAUGUCCGAAUGGGGAAACCCACCCGCUUGCGGGUAUCCUGCAGUGAAUACAUAGCUGCUGGAAGCGAACCUGGUGAACUGAAAUAUCUAAGUAACCAGAGGAAAAGAAAUCAACCGAGAUUCCGUAAGUAGCGACGAGCGAACGCGGACUAGCCCUUAAGCUGAUUUGGUUCUAGGAAAACGCUCUGGAAAGAGUGGCCAUAGAAGGUGAUAGCCCUGUAUCUGAAAGGGCCAUUUCAGUGAAGACGAGUAGGGCGGGGCACGUGAAACCCUGUCUGAACAUGGGGGGACCAUCCUCCAAGGCUAAAUACUACUGACCGACCGAUAGUGAACCAGUACCGUGAGGGAAAGGCGAAAAGAACCCCGGAGAGGGGAGUGAAAUAGAACCUGAAACCGUGUGCGUACAAGCAGUAGGAGCUCCGCAAGGAGUGACUGCGUACCUUUUGUAUAAUGGGUCAGCGACUUACUGUUCGUGGCAAGCUUAACCGUAUAGGGGAGGCGAAGGGAAACCGAGUCUGAUAAGGGCGUAUAGUCGCGGGCAGUAGACCCGAAACCGGGUGAUCUAGUCAUGCCCAGGGUGAAGGUGCGGUAACACGCACUGGAGGCCCGAACCCACUCCCGUUGCAAAGGUAGGGGAUGAGGUGUGAUUAGGAGUGAAAAGCUAAUCGAACCCGGAGAUAGCUGGUUCUCCUCGAAAGCUAUUUAGGUAGCGCCUCAUAUGUAUCCUCUCGGGGGUAGAGCACUGUUAUGGCUAGGGGGUCAUCGCGACUUACCAAACCAUUGCAAACUCCGAAUACCGAGACGGACUGUAUGGGAGACACACGGCGGGUGCUAACGUCCGUCGUGAAAAGGGAAACAACCCAGACCCACAGCUAAGGUCCCAAAUUCACUGCUAAGUGGAAAACCAUGUGGAAAGGCACAGACAGCCAGGAGGUUGGCUUAGAAGCAGCCACCCUUUAAAGAAAGCGUAAUAGCUCACUGGUCGAGUCGGUCUGCGGGGAAGAUUUAACGGGGCUAAGCAGUGAACCGAAGCUUGGGGUGCAUACUUUGUAUGCGCGGUAGAGGAGCGUUCCGUAAGCCGUUGAAGGUGGAUUGAGAAGUCUGCUGGAGGUAUCGGAAGUGCGAAUGCUGACAUGAGUAACGAUAAUGCGGGUGAAAAACCCGCACGCCGAAAGCCCAAGGUUUCCUUGCGCAACGUUAAUCGGCGCAGGGUGAGUCGGCCCCUAAGGCGAGGACGAAAGUCGUAGUCGAUGGGAAGCAGGUUAAUAUUCCUGCACCUCGCGUAAGUGCGAUGGAGGGACGGAGAAGGUUAGGUGUACCAGGCGUUGGUUGUCCUGGGGAAAGGCGGUAGGUUUGGAUCUUUGGCAAAUCCGGGAUCCUUUAAGACCGAGCACCGAGACGAGCCUUUAAGGCGAAGUCACUGAUACCACGCUUCCAGGAAAAGCUCCUAAGCUUCAGCUUACGCAGACCGUACCGUAAACCGACACAGGUGGGUAGGAUGAGAAUUCUCAGGCGCUUGAGAGAACUCGGGUGAAGGAACUAGGCAACAUGGCACCGUAACUUCGGGAGAAGGUGCACCCUUUUUGGUGGCUCGUGCGAGCUAUAGCUGAAGAGGGUCGCAGUAACCAGGCCGCUGCGACUGUUUAUCAAAAACACAGCACUCUGCAAACACGAAAGUGGACGUAUAGGGUGUGACGCCUGCCCGGUGCUGGAAGGUUAAUUGAUGGGGUCAGCCGCAAGGCGAAGCUCUUGAUCGAAGCCCCAGUAAACGGCGGCCGUAACUAUAACGGUCCUAAGGUAGCGAAAUUCCUUGUCGGGUAAGUUCCGACCUGCACGAAUGGCGUAACGAC
rnacentral:rRNA from 1 species